UCCCCGGCCGAACCCCCUUCAGUGCGCGCCGCGCCGAGGGCAGAUCCGGUGUGAGCCGCCGCUGCCGCCGCCCCCUUGCCUCCUCCUCCCUCACGGCGUCCCUCCCACUGAGGCCCGCCUCGUAUUUCCUGGAUCCGGUCUCAGGGAGAGGUUGGCCAAAGAACUGCCGGCUUCAGGGCUUCCGUCGGACGCCUUCGCUCGCCAGACACAAAGAUGGCACCGCCCGGACCUGCGCCUUUCACUGGGAAGAGUAAUUGACACAACCCAGGACACAAAUGGUGCUUUUUCUCUGCCAGACCUCUCUGCUCAGCUCCUGGUCUCCUUGACUUUUCACUGUUACUGUUAAUCAGUUGUUUUGAAUACCUUCCCAGAGAAGAUUUUAGAGCUUAUUUGUGGAAACAACUAGGAACUUGAUGGCAAGACUCUAUUGCUGAAGGUGCAUACUUGAGUCAUAGAAGAAAUCAAGCUGGUAUUGAUCUGGAAGCUUCAUAAACUCCAGCUACUUUUCAUCAUAUGGAAGUUUCUAUGAGUGUUAUUGGUGAAGAAAAGUAACCAACAGUAUUACCCAACUGAACUUUGCAUUCUACAGUAACAACUGGCCUGGCAAGAUACACCCAUGGAUGUCAAAUUCCAUGAGUGUUAUGGGAGUAACAAAUUGCUUUCUGAUUGGAUUUAAGGCCUACUCUACGGACAGACCUCAGAUGUGGUAGUUUACUAGUACAAAGACCUGUGGAUAGGCCAUAGGCCAUAGGAGAGGUCCUCAUACUAUUAUUCUACUAAAUUGACACAGUAAUUAACUGUCCUCUAAAUUCUUAUCUUUAUACAUAUAGAUAAGCAUGCCACUCAACCCUCAUCAAAAAAGCUUUCUGUAGCAGAUGGUGAUUAAUAUAGAGACCCACAACUGGACAACAUGUAGAGAAUAAGACACUAUGAAUGUACAACCACAAAUGGGACAUUUAUGUCUACUCAAAGCUCAGGGAUCAUUGCCAAAGAGAUGAUGAAAUGAUUGCCAAGAGCCAGAGUUCCUGGACAUCUGCAGUGAGACUGUUUUCUAGACAUAAGAAAAAUGCACAAAUGACCUCACAGUGACUGUUACUGUACACAUAAGACCUGCACUGGGUCAAUCUAGACAAAAUUCCCAACAUGGAUAAUGAGGGGCUGGUAAAAUGCUAUCCCCAGCUGAGGAGACAUUGGCAAAUCAUGGCUGCUGGCAGAUGGAGAGGCAGUUUCCUUCAGGAAUAUGGUCCCUGAGAGACUACCUGUUGCAGUAAAUAAUGAAAAAGAUACUCCCACCCACGUUAUUGCAGGCACUGGUGCACCACAUUACAACUGCAGGAUAUUUUCAUCUCAAUCAGCAAAAUGUCUCCACCUGAUUGCCAAGUUACCAAUUUCCAUCCCACACUGUCACCAGCUACUCUGUGGGCCCUGCAGUGAUCUCACCGCCAUGGCUAGCCCCAGAAGUGACCACCCUUCUAUUUCUCAUGGUGCUGGUCACUGCCAUGCCAGCCACAUUCAGCCAUCUAUCCCCUGUGGUUAUAGUCACA